rnacentral:rRNA from 1 species
GCAAGUCGAACGAAGCCUUCGGGCUUAGUGGCGCACGGGUGCGUAACGCGUGGGAAUCUGCCCUUGGGUUCGGAAUAACAGUUAGAAAUGACUGCUAAUACCGAAUGAUGUCUUCGGACCAAAGAUUUAUCGCCCAGGGAUGAGCCCGCGUAGGAUUAGCUUGUUGGUGAGGUAAAGGCUCACCAAGGCGACGAUCCUUAGCUGGUCUGAGAGGAUGAUC